rnacentral:misc_RNA from 1 species
CCAGCUUCAAUUUGUUGGCGAAUGUCACUUCUUGAUGCUCGAUCUGGAUGGAACCUAAGAAGAGCUUGUUUAUAAGCAGCACAUACCUCAGAAGACAAAGGGUAAAGAGCCCCCCCCCAUUUUUGAUCCCAAGCCCACGAAGAAGGAAAGCCAUAUCUCUACAGUUAGCUUCCAGUUUAUCCAAUUCUCUCCUUACCUCAAUGCGAAGCUGCUCUUUCAAAUUCAGAGUUUCCUCAUCCUUUUUCUGUGCCUCUCGAA